CGAGAGCCGCUGGUGCUUCCCAGGCCGUCGCGCUCCUGGCCGCGCACCCAGCCAGGGACCCAGAGGCCCUCAGCCCCGGGCUCUGCGCGUACACUGAGGGCGCGGCGCAGCAGGACAGCAAGAUAAGGAAGCAGAGACUGAAGGGAGGAAUCCCCGCUUUCCGGGGAUGAUGGCGUUCGAGUUGGGUCUGUGAGGGAUGAAAUAGGAGUUGGCCAGAGGGAGAGAGGGACUCUAGGCCUCGAGAAGAGCACGUGCAGAGGUUCCGUGACACGAAAACGCCAGGUGGGUGCGGGGCUGGGAGGACAGGAGGCAGAAGGGUUUACGGCUCCACAUGGUCGCCGAAAUUUUAGGUCCCUGAGAGUAAAGGGGUGCAGCUGAUUUCAUCUAGAAAGCCCCUGGCCGGGAGGAGAGAACGAGCUUGCUUGCCUGGGGUUGCAAAGGAGUGGGUAGCUGAGACGGCCAGCACCCCAGCAUCCUGACUCAGGGCCAGACGCUUCACCCCAUUGGGCGGCGUCUGGAGGAGCAGACACAUCUCUUGUGGGUACCCUCGAAAGUGAAUCAUGGGUCGCAGGGAACUGUGGUCAAACCGUCUCUAGCUAGAUGCUAGAGAGCCAGCUCUGCAGGCUCAGGCUACUGUGAGACACGAAAGGAGGGACUCGCUGGGCACAGCCUCACCCUGGGGCAUGCCAGCAGGCCCUGCCCUCUGAGUGUUGGCAGACUUGAACAUCCCUAGGGAACGAGAGAAGUUGGGCAACGAUGGGAGAGCAGUGCAGGCCCUGGAGGUGACGAGUCUGUUGAGAUUCUGAUGGGGAUGGGUCAGAGGACGUAGAAAGCAGUGAAGGCCUAGACGCCCCCAGGUCAGUGUAGCCUGCUCUGCUUCCAGUGAGCUGGGCUCAGUCCCCCACAUGUCAUUGUCUUAGACGCCCAUGGCCUUUGCACAGGCCGAGCCUGAUGUUUGGAACAUCGUCGCCUCUAGGGGGCCUGGCUCCUAAUCAUGCAUCACCUCCUCCAGGAGAACUUUCCUGCCCCUACACUGAGUUCAAGCUUCUCAGACACCAGCCCCAGUUGAGUUCGAGUUAUAACCGUCACCAGUUAUCACACCAUCCUGUAAUCUGUGCGGUGCCCCUUAGGGCAGGACCUGGGUCCUAGAUGUCUCUGUACCUCUAGCCCCAAACCAGGCCUGACCUGUCUCUUGAAGGAGUAUUUGUGUUGAAGAUGGGUGGUAACGUUCAGCAAAAGCCAUGCCCAGGAGACAGGCACAGUACCCAUGGAGACCCAGGGCCAGCUGAUGACAGUGAUGAAUUCCCUUUAGAACUGGCGGACUCUUGGGUGCUUGGAGACACUAUAUAAAUAAGGAACUCUGGCUGUGUGCAUGGGAGAGUAUAUUAACAGGGCUUGGCCUGGCUGUGAGGUGCAGAGAUGCCGUUUCUCUCAGGCUGGGAACUUCAGGAAAGCCAGGACCAAGUCAAUCUUGAUCUAGGCUCUGUCUUCAGCAUCUAGAACCAGGCUUGGCACCAACUGAGUAGGUAAUCCGUAAAUAAAUUGCUGUUGCUGUGUAUCAAAAAGAAAAAACCAAAGUUUGCAUGGUCCAGUGCUUAGAAGUUUUGAAAUAAAAAAUGUAGCUAUUUUUUGGCUGGGUAUAGUGGCUCACGCCUGUAAUCCCAGCACUUUGGGAGUCCGAGGCGGUGGAUCACCUGAAGUCAGGAGUUCGAGACCAGCCUGGCCGACAUAGUGAAACCACGUCUCUACUAAAAAUACAAAAAUUAGCCGGGAGUGGUGGCAGGUGCCUAUAAUCCUAGCUGCUUGGGAGGCUGAGCGGGGAGAAUCACUUGAACCUGGGAGGCAGAAGUGGCAGUGAGCUGAGAUCGUGCCAUUGCACUCCAGCCUGGGCGAAAGAGCAAGACUCAGUUUAAAAAAAAAAAAAGUAGCUAUUUUUUAAAUUGGAAAACCAAUCACAUGCACAUAGCAAAGAAUUGAAAUAGUACAAAAGUGAGCCUGUUUGCCUCACACCUUCAUAUUGAUCAGGAUAGGACAGGCUGGUCUGUGGUUACAGUGAUUUCUUUUUUUUUUUUUUUCUUCCAGAGAUGGAGUCUCGCUCUGUCUCCCAGUCUGGAGUGCAGUGGCAUGAUCUUGGCAAUCUGGGCUCACUGCAACCUCCGCCUCCCAGAUUCAAGCAAUUCUCCUGCCUCAGCCUCCCGAGUAGCUGGGACUACAGGCACACGCUGCCACACCUGGCUAAUUUUUUGUAUUUUAGUAGAGACAGGGUUUCACCACGUUGCCCAGGCUGGUCUCAAACUCCUGAGCUCAGGCAAUCUGCUCGCCUCAGCCUCCCAAAGUGCUAGGAUUACAGGCGUGAGCCACCGCACCUGGCAGUACAGUGAUUUCUAAUAUUGCCCAUGACUGUUGGCUGAACUCAACUGGUGAUUCUUACUUUGAAUGGCUUAUGUGACUGCGAUCACACCAGGACUGGAGUUACCUGAAGACUCAGCUGGGCAGGUUACUGUUGAUGGCUCACUCAUUUGGCUGGCAGGAGAUGCCAUCUAUUGGCUAGAGGGUCGGAGCUGCAAACCAAAGCACCUACAUGUGGCCCCUUCACAUGGCUUAGGUUUCUCAGAACAUGGUGGCUAGAUUCUGAGAGGGAGGCAUCCCAAAACAUGCAUCCAACAGUAUGAAAGCUGCCAGUCUCUUACGGUUUGACCCUGAAAUUAGAACACAUCACUUCCUCUGCAUUCUAUUAACCAAAGCAGUCACGGACCAGCCCAGAUUGAAGGAGAGGGGACAUAGGCCCCAGCCUUCAAUGAAAGGAAUGUCAAGCCAGGCACGAUGGCUCACACCUGUAAUCCCAGCACUUUGGGAGGUCAAGGCGGGCGGAUCAUCUGAGGUCAGGAGUUUGAGACCAGCCUGACUAACGUGGUGAAACCCCGUCUCUACUAAAAAUACAAAAAUUAGCCGGAUGUGGUGGCGCACGCCUGUAAUCCCAGCUAUUCAGGAGGCUGAGGCAGGAGAAUCGCUUGAACCCAGGAGGUGGAGUUUGCAGUGAGCCGAGAUUGUGCCAUUGCAUUCCAGCCUGGGUGACAGAAUGAGACUGUCUCAAAAAAAAAUUAAAAAAGGAAUGUCAAAAAAGUCUGGCCAUCUUUAAUCCACCACAUGUGGAUACUAAAUAAAACUCCAAAUCUCAGUCGCUUAAAACAA